GCAGGGCGCCCGGGCAGGGCCGCGCCCACUCUCCUGGGGUGACCCCAAGAGGGCACGAGUGGAGGACGGGUGGCCCAGGAUGCGCAACGCUGCCAGGCAGCGGGAUGAGGACUGCACAGUGCCCACGGCCGUUCAGAACUGAGUUCAAACCUGCGGCCAGGGCGGAGCAGACAGCAGAGCUGCGUGCAGGAGUGGCCCAGGGCGUGAGGGACCCAAAGAGAUUGGAGUCCAGGAAGUCUCUAAUUCCAGAGGAAAUAGGAAAUCCUAAAGCAAGUAAACUGAGGCAGAAUCCCAUUCAUACAGUCUUGGUCAAUGGAGCAAGGGCGGGGGGACUCCCACAUCCCUGAGGCUACCAGAGUUUGCAGCACCAAACACCAGCUGUAUAGAAAUGAGACUGUUUUAGAUACCACCAAAAAUGGACCUAAGGCUUUGGAUAUUCGUGCCAUCCUGAUCCAAAUUAACUCGGGAGGGGUGAGUGAAGGAAAGUAAUGUUCAUCAAAUAUUAACCAUAUGCCAGAUAAUAUGAGUUCCCAGUUCAUCCAAGAUUUUCUCUGACUUCCAACAGUUCAACCUGAUUUUCUGGGUUCCCGUACACAUAAGGGCCUCAUGCAAUCUGCCAGUACCCAUGUUGGGAAUUUGGGGAAGAAAACAGACUGGAAAAGCAGGGGAUCUUUGCAGAUGUAAUCAACUUAAGAUGGGAUCAUUGGGUGUCCAGUGUGACCAGUGUCCUUACAAGAAGAGGGGAAUUUGUACACAGACACACACAGGGAGGAGAGCACCAUGUGAAGACACA